rnacentral:rRNA from 1 species
GAUGAGCCGAAGUCGGAUUAGCUAGUUGGUGAGGUAACGGCUCACCAAGGCGACGAUCCGUAGCUGGUCUGAGAGGACGACCAGCCACACUGGGACUGAGACACGGCCCAGACUCCUACGGGAGGCAGCAGUGGGGAAUAUUGGACAAUGGGGGCAACCCUGAUCCAGCGACGCCGCGUGUGUGAAGAAGGCCUGCGGGUUGUAAAGCACUUUUAGUGGGGAUGAAAUGUGCAGGGUUAAUACCUCUGCAUUUUGACCUAACCCACAGAAAAAGCACCGGCUAACUCUGUGCCAGCAGCCGCGGUAAUACAGAGGGUGCAAGCGUUAAUCGGAAUUACUGGGCGUAAAGCGUGCGCAGACGGUUGCGUAAGUCGGAUGUGAAAGCCCCGGGCUCAACCUGGGAAUUGCAUUUGAGACUGCGUAGCUAGGGUGCGGAAGAGGGAAGCGGAAUUUCCGGUGUAGCGGUGAAAUGCGUAGAUAUCGGAAGG